rnacentral:lncRNA from 1 species
CGGUGGAGACCCCGCAGACGGGGCAGGCUGGUGGCCGGUGGCCUUGCCGCCCGGCGGUAGGUCGCUGGAGGGUUUGGCAGCGCAGCAGAUCCACGCACCAGGGCGAAGGCAGCCUGAGCCAGACCUCGGCGCAUCCUCACACCGCAGCCCAGGCUGCUGCAGUCGGGGACCAGCUGGCUGGACCUUCCUUGCUUUCCCCCUCUGCAAGAUGGGAAUGGGGAAGGCCGCCGUGUUCCUGCCUGGAUGAGUCUCCUAUGGCUGCUGCAACAAGUCAGCACAAGUUCAGGGCCUUGAAGGGGCCCCAAAUGAUCCCCUCAAAGACCUGGGGCCUCCUAGAAUUCCCGAGGCCCCGGAGAGUCCAUGUCCCCCUCUUCCAGCUCCUAAGCCCCCUCAGCCCUGAGCUCCUGCCCCCUCCUCCAGCUCCAGGGCCAGCAGCAGUGUCUCCCAGACUGUCUGAUUUUGACCCUCCUGCGUCCUCUCAUGGGACCUGUGGUGACCACAGACCCAGCUCAGGGUCUCCCCUGAUCCCACCUGCAGAGUCUCUUCUGCCAUGGAAAAGUGCCAGUCACCUCCCAGGAUCUGCACAGGUACCCUGAAAGCACCCUCUCCAAAGUAGGAGCUGUAGGAUGUGAUGCCCCUGGUCCCUGGGACUGGGUGGGUAGCCGAGUCCUUCCUGUUCUCCCUGAGGGCCACACAGGUGUCCUAUGGGUUUCAUCAGUGGGUAUAACUUAGAGGAUGUGGCAGGAGGAAGUCAGAUGACAAGCCAGGUGCCUGGACCUCAGUUACUGGGGCAGGGUGUUGGCCUUUGCCCAUUUGCUGGGCCAGCCCUGCCCAGCCACAUAGCCCUGCCCCCAUGCCUCCUUUGGGGACUGUGCAGUGACCAACCCCCAGAGAGUCCAGACAUGUGAUGCUACCCGGUCAGAGCAAGACAGGACCCAGGGCUGCCCAGCGGCCCACCCCCAGUCCAGGACAGCAGGCCCUGGCUCCGUCCCCAGCACUGCUGAGCCACUGGAAUGAGCAUGCCUGAGUCAGUCGGCAGGAAGGGACACUUACAGCCACUUGCAUCAGAUGGCCCCAUGGGCAGGAAUGCCAGCUCAGCAGGAGGCCUGUGAUGGCCUUGCCAUGCCCCUCACUUAAUUGGGGACCCUCCUUGGGGCUGUGGUCCCCAUCCCUGGAUGAGGUGGGGGUGCAGUCUAAGCUGGGUGCUGGGCCUGGACACCUGAUUCCACCUCUGGAAAUCCAACCUCCCAGGAGCUGUGAUGGCUAGGGUGCUGCCAUCUGGGCUCUCCCACACCUGCUGGUGCCUGAAGGCAGUCCUGCAUCUCCUAAGCCUUGCUGGCCAGCUCUGAGCAGGGCAGGAGGGAAGCUAGCCACCCCCUGAAAAGCGCAGCUCAGUCUUGUGAGGAGGCUGCAAAGUCCCAGCAACACAGGCAGGUGCCCGUGAACAGCAAGACUCCCCUCGACAGCCAAGUUGGCUCUGUGUCCUAUGGGCUAACAGCAGUGCUAGAAAACCCGUCUCAGGUUAUGGGAGUGAGAUGACACUCCAGGAGGCGGGAGGCUGAGGAGUCAGCCCAGCCUUCUGAGACGACUCGGUCAGUAGCGGUCAACAGAGCACCGUCUUCCCCAUUCUGAAAACAAUAAAACUCGAGGCUCCCAGAAGAGAAGGGUAAUUCCAGGUGGGGGGCCAACGUGUGUGGAAUCCUCACCAAAGUGAGGCACAGUCCCCCCUCCUUAGCAAAUGCAGUGCACACCCUCCUGGAGACGGAAGGUGGCCUUGGCCCCUGGAUCACACACAUGGGACUUGGUGCACAUGAAGUCUGAUGAAGGCCAUAGGCAACUAGAGUUCUGCCUCUGCACAUGGGGAGUUGAGAUGGAGUUCCUGCUUACCCCUACGGAUGCCAUUAAAGCUCUUCCCCUUCAUCCUCUGCCGAGUCAGCCCGGGGUCUCUGUCCCCCAGUGCUGUCAGACACCACAGAACCGCCCCGACCCACCCCCAGUAAAGUCUUGC